ACCUUACUAUUUUAGUUGGUAAAGAAUCUGCCUGAAAGGCAGGAGACCCAGGUUCGAUUCCUGAGUUGGGAA
rfam:TPA: Bos taurus chromosome 16, whole genome shotgun sequence.